GACGAAGGGGGCUAGCGUUGUUCGGAAUUACUGGGCGUAAAGCGCGUGUAGGCGGUUUUCCAAGUUGGGUGUGAAAGCCCUGGGCUCAACCUAGGAAGUGCACUCGAAACUGCAGAGCUUGAGUCUCGGAGAGGAUCGCGGAAUUCUCGGUGUAGAGGUGAAAUUCGUAGAUAUCGAGAGGAACACCGGUGGCGAAGGCGGCGAUCUGGACGAUGACUGACGCUGAGACGCGAAAGCGUGGGGAGCAAACAGG
rnacentral:rRNA from 1 species